GAGCAGAGGCAUUUAGCUGUGUAAACACAGAGCUUCAGUGGCAGCACCCUAAAUGCUUAGCUGAUAGAUCCGGAAUUAAAUACAGACCUAGAAACUGGAGUUGGAAAACUUCCUGGCAGCACUCCUUCCCUGCCAUCCCGGUGAUCCCCUUCUGGAUGGAGGGUGUGGAGCUCAGCACAUUCACGUCUGCAGUUCUCAGAGAACCAAGUGUUAAGGAAUGUCAGGGAAGGAAGAAGGCAGCCAGCCAGGAAGGGGAGGUCCUGGCCUGAGCACGCCAGGCACAGAGGGAUAGAGGGUAGGGAGGAAACUGCACCUGUCUCCAACCCUCGACCCCAGCCCCGAAACACGACAUUGGCUGAAACAGAUUAAAAGCAUAAAAUGGCCCAAAGAAAUGGGAGAAGGUUGGCCUCUGGUCGGGCAAACAUGAGGGCAUGAAGAUAU
rnacentral:lncRNA from 1 species